UCUAUGGACAUGAGUUCAAGCAAGCUCUGGGAGUUGGUGAUGGACAGGGAAGCCUGGCAUGCUGCAGUCCAUGGGGUCACAGAUAGUCAGACAUGACUGAGUGACUGAACUGAACUGUACCUUCCCAAUACCAAUGGAGUCAGGGAACCUUGAACUCUAGGUUCUGUUUGUAAUAAAUUAAUAAAUAUGUGAUUUGGACAUUUCCUUCCUUCCUUCCACCCUCCCUUCCUCCCUCUCUUGCUUCCUUCCCCAAACCUUCCUGAAGUCCCAGAAGGAUACAACUGAAUAAAGGUUUAGAAUCCACCUGGAACUUCAUGCUAAUCCCAACUUUAUAUAUAUUCAAGUGAUUCAUUUCUGGGCCCCAAAGUUUGAAGAGCAUGAAAUCUCUUGAAUUCUCCUUUAUUAACUCUCUCAUUCCCCUUCACUACUUAUUUAUUUACUAAUAUUCAUUGAACACUAUCUAUGGAUCAGGUUCUAUUCUGUCUUAAUAAAUAGUGAAGAGACUUCUGAGAUGUGUUCAUUCCUGUGUGUGUUCACCAUUAUCAUUAUCAGCAGCAGCACCAAUAUCAACAUCAUCACCAUGAGCUCUUCCUAAUCUUAUGCACAAUCCUCCCUUGAGACUUUGCAAAUGAUUUUUAUGUCGCUUUUCACAUUCUGUGCUCCCAGCCCUCCUCAGGAGGCAGAGAUCACUCCCUCUGCCCUGAAGAUAGGAGAACUAAGGCUUAAGGAAGGUAAGUAAUUUACUCCAGGCUACAUAAUUCACCAGUAACAGAUUUGAAACUAUAACUCAUCCGACUCCUCAUCCAGGACCCUUCCCUCUGUAUGCUUGGGAGGUCAAUGUUGCUGACAUAAACUGAAAGGGGUAAACAUGCCACACCACUAAGAAAUGAUAGAGUGCUGUGGUUGAGAGAAAACUUGUGUUCAAAUCUCCAUGCCUUCUCAGUUGUUUGACCUUGGACGGUGACCUCUCAUCAUCCCCGAGUCUUGGUUUUCUCACCUGUAACUUGGGAGUUAUAAUAAUAUCCACCUUACAGGAUCCUGGAAGGGCUGAAGAAGGUUAUAUAUGGAAAGUGGUUGCACAAGUGCUUGUUACAGAAUAGGCACUCAGCAAAAGUUAGCUAGGGUUGUUGUGGACACUGACACUCUCUUUUGGACAUUGGGGUGUGGCAGAGAGGGCAGCGAAGGGAAUAGGCAAGGUGGUGUCCUCGAGUACCCCUCUGACUGAAGACUCCUUUGCCGGCCUCUCACCCUCUGGGCACCAACCCAGAGCUCUAAGGAAAGCCACGACUUGUUCUAGCCAAGGGGAUUUAGCUGCCACUUGACCUUGUGUAAUGGGACUUGACCCAUGCCGGUUAUAACUCCCUAGAGUCAUGUACCAUCGAGUCAGCCCUCCUAAAGAUCUUUUCUUUCCUGGAAUUCAGCUGCCCAGGGAAAUGGCCCCAAAGUAGUGUGUGUGUGUGUCUGUGUGCUGGGUGAAAAUGUGUUGUAGAUGCAAUUGCUCAAGGAGAAAGAGGAAAGAAGGCAGGGUGGGUGGAUACCUUAGGACCACAGAAUCUUGGCUUUGAAAAUGAGCUAAUUAGCCCUCUCUCUUGAGAAAGUCUAACUCUUAUGGUAUUGACCUUUCUGGGACCUUAACAAAGCAUUGGACUAGAUCAAGAUUCUGGGUCAUACAGAUUGGGACCUUAUAUACAAGUAGAAUUUAAUUUGUAAAACUACCUUUUGGGGGGGUCUGUUAUUACCUCUGUUUUAUAAAUAAGGAAUAAAUACAGACACAAGCUCAUAGUGGUCAUCUUGAGAUGGUUCAAAUAUAAUUUCUCCUUCUCUCUCCCCAAGUUGAUUAUCCAAUCACAUGCCAAACUUACCAUCUAUAAGGUGAAAAAGUCAACAUCUUCAUGUCCAGCCUUGUCUUCUCCUUUGAACUGUAGAUUCCUGCAUCUAAAUGCCUACUUGACACACAUACUUGGCUAUCUAAUAAUAUCUCUAACCUAUUAUGUCCAAACUGAACCCUUGAAUUCCCUUCCCAGUGGCACCAGGACUGGCUGUUCACCCAACUUCCAAUUUUGUUGAUUGACAUCAACACACCAGAUCUUCAGGCCCAAACCUAGGGAUCUUCCUGGAUUUCACCAAUUCCCUUAUCCUCCCCACAUCCACCCAGUCAAUGAGACCUCUUACCUCUAUCUUGAAAACAUUUUUCAGAUCUGUCUGCUUUGCUCUGAAUAGACCCAAACCAUUCUUGUCCAUACCCUAUCCUCUGUAAUACCUUCCUGACUGGUUUCUCACCUUCCUCUGCAGCUUAUAAUCCACUCUCUACACAGUUAUCAUGUGGAUGCUUUUCUCAAUAAAAAUAAGCUCCUUCUCUGGCCUGCUUACUGUCCUCAAAUAGCGUCUAUAUCUCUGCAAGUAUGAUUCAAGGUCCUUGUACCACGUUGACAAACUUCUUCCUGAUCUGAUCCCUGGAGUGCAUCUCCGACUAUUCUCUCCCCGGCACACUGUGACCCAGCCAAGUUGGCUUUCUCAGUGUUCCUCAAAUACUCCAAACUUUCAGCAGUGGUAGCACUUUGCACUAGCUCUUCCCUCCCCCUGGCUCCCUUUGGCUUCAGACCUUCACAUUGAGGGUCCCUUCUCCCUAUUUCUCCCCAGUUCAAACAUCACUUUCUCCCAGCCAACCUUGACCACCCAACCUAUUAUAUGUCUUCUACUCAAAUAGCUUUCUUUCAUGUCACUCUUGCUUGUCCAAGAGUGUGUCUCAACUUGGUAUCAUCUUAAUCAUUUGGUUUUGGAAUUAACACCCAUCUCUCUCCCAACUAGAAUGUGAAUUCCAGGGGAACAAGUGUUGUGUCUCUUCUGGUUCACUGCCAUGCCUAUGUUGCUGAGUGGGUGGUCUGAUACAGAGUAAAUGCUCAAUAAAUGUUUGUUGACUGAAUGAGUGGCUGCCAUUCUGAAAAUUCUGUGAUUGCUUCAGGUGAGUACUAAUGGGGAGGGGGGGUCAAAUGUGUGUAUCAGUGUGGCUGCAAAUAUUAUCCCAAACCCAAAGCAACAUUUUAAAAAGGUUCUACUCAUUUGGGUGCAUUUUGGAAGAAACCAAAUAAAAACCAAAAGUUCUCUUGGUGUUCUGAUUUUGGUAUAGAUGACACCUUCACCUACACCUUGGUAUAGAUGACAAAACAAAAUGCAACUUAAAAACAAGACAUUCGAAAAAGAACCCAACAAGACAUUCUAAACAAGUGUGUCUUGCUGUGUGGUUUUUCUUGGGUGGGGAACUCAGAGAAGGCAGGGCUGGGUCCCUCCUGACAGCUGGUCCAGCUCACACCUCCUGUAUCUCUAUAGACCCACCUCCUUUCAGCCUCCUGCCCCAGCACCCCAUCUUCUCUGGGUGCCCUGGCUUGCCUUCUGCCCUCGUCCAAGUCUGAGCCAUCUCCACUCGGGUGGUGCCUUCCCCUCAUCCCAGUGGCCAGAUGAGAAGACUGGGACCUGUGACUAAGUAACCUGGCCGAAGUCAACAGUUUCUGUACAGAAGACCUUGAAUCUACAACUUUGGACUCUGCAUUCCUCGAUCCAUAUAGACUGAACAUACUGGAUAGACUUGAUUGCAAUUUGGGAAAUUCAGUGAAUAUUCUUAAAUGAUGAGGCUUUACCUACGAAUAGCAUCUUGGCAUCACUGAAAAUAAAAAGAAUAUAGAAUCCCUCUGAGGACCUCUGAGUAUAUCCAUCAAUUUGACUUAGCUAAAAAUUCCAUGGCAGAGACUGGCUACAUGUUUACUCCAUACUAGAUCUGCAUGGCUUGACAGAACCCCCAGAGAUACAGUAGCUGGAAGCAAAGGGUGUUUGGAGUGUUUCCUAAGAAGAGCUCCCUCGCCUGCACUUGCCCAGUUUUUCUUGCUCUGUCAAGGGUGGACAAAGCUGUUACUUACUGUCUCCCAUGAGGAAAGAAUGAAGUAUGAUGAGAAUGAAGGGGAGGGCUUUGAAGUCAAGUCAGUGCGGAUUCAGAUCCUGGCUCAGUGGCAAAGCUCUGUCUGCUUCAGUUUUCCCAAACUGUAAAAUGAGGGUGAUGCUCAAGGCCUGAGUCAUUUCAUCAAAUGAGUCUUCUGCCUUGGCCCUCUCCCAGCCAACAGCUGCAAGGUACCAGAUUGGCAUGAAGCAGGCUUAUUUCUGCUUUUUGAGUCUUGAUACUCAAAGGAUGUGAGAGAUCCUGUGAGCAGGAGUCCUUUGCAAUGAAAAGUGAAUAAAACCUGUCUGCUUAUUUGGAAGAUAAUUAACUGAGAGGUCUUGGAGGGGCCUCCCAGAGGACCAUGGAUUUGUGUCUGGACUUGGAGGAAUAAGAACAUGAGAACCCAGAGUGACCUAACUUAAGAAGCACCCUUUCCAUCAGUGACUGGGGCAAACGGUGCUGAGAAUGAACGGCAAGACGUGCACACUUGAGACACAGAAGAAUGGAGCCUGCUGAUGUGGGUAACAGAGGGACACUGUUUCAGACCAAGUAGCCAGAGACUUGAACAAAGCUAGGGUGUGAGCCAUGCAGAUGUCUGGAGCCAGGGUAUUUUUGGCAGAAAGAAUGGAAUGUGUAAGCCACCGGAGGUGGGAGUGGAUGUGGCUGCGAUAAUAGUUAUUCAUGAUCUUAUAGGACACCCUGUGCGAUAGUAUCUAGAACACUCUCUGGAACUUACUAAUCAUUUAAAGAAUGCUUUUAGAGAAUGAUAACUCCCCUCAAUUGAUGACUUGACAAAUUCAAACGCUAUCUAUAGAGGGAUUAUAUGGAGCACAGUUGAAUUCCUCAGUGAUUCACAAGUCAAAGGCUUUAGAACCUGAUGGUGUCUCUCAGCAGAGUUGGUCUUCACAGUAUUGUUGAAAUAAGCUUGUGUAGAUUCUAAAGCGAACUAUGCCAUAUAUAACAGCUAUCAUUUAAUGAGACUUUACUGGUCAGAGUAAAUAACAGUAACUGCUGUAACAAAUAAUCCUGUAAAAUAUGAUUUAACCCCAAAAUGUUUUGUUCUCACUCACAAAACUCAACAUGGAUAUUCUUGAUCAGGUAACUUUCCUCCACACAGUGAUUCAAGAAUCCAGCUUCUGCUAUUUGGGGAUGCUGCUAUCUUCAAUACAGUCAGUGUGGAAAGAUGGCAGGAGCAAAGUCGUGCCUGUGGACGUCUAGGAACAGACAUAUCACUUCUGUAUACUUUCAUCAUGGCCAGAACCCAUCACAAGGCCCCACCCAGCUGCCAAAGUCUGGAAAAACCAUUUACCACAAUAUCCAAACAGAAAAAAAAUAAUCUGUGAGCACAAGGCACAGACGGUAUAGCCAUUGUCUCAUUUCUAAUACUGAGGAUGCAGGCGAUAUUGUUCCCAUUGGUUUCCUGGGAAGAAACCUGUAAAAGGUCACAGAUCUGGGGGGUGUCACAGAGAGAUUCCACCUUAGGUCUGCAUGAAGAGCCGACGUCUUCAUGACCACUUUACAGUGUCUCCUGAACAACAAACAGGAGAUGGUGUCGGAAAGAGGCCGGACUGAGUGGAGCUUGGUUUCCUGGGGCACCUUUUUGCUGGGCCCUUAAUAGCUCAGCAGCUUUAGGAAGACACUCCCUGCCUUGGCAUGCCAACUUCCCCAUAAGAAGCGGUGCUAUUUGAUCAUAACUGCCUGGCAACUGGACUCUCUCCUUCUACUCUUGUUCCCCUAAGUCUUCAAUCUAUUUGCUUCCCAUAUAGAAGUCAGAAUGGUCUUUUAAAAAACAUGUCA